UGAGUAACUGCGCUCCUGAUCUGUUGUACCGGUUUUCCAUGGUUUGCUUUAAUCGGCAGGCUGUGGUGGCUGGUGUGUUUACCUUGAAUAAAUCAAAAUGCUCAAGAUACGCGUCUCGCCAGAAUGACAGUGCAUGGAAUAAUAGAAGUAAGACUUCUGCUUAUCUGUUGGUCUCGGAACCGAUGUAAUGGUUUAGAGGGACUGACGGGGGGCAUUUGUAUCGAUGCGUGAGAGAUGAAAUUCUUGGACCGCAUCGAGACACACUACUGCGAAAGCAUUUGCCAAGAAUGUCUUCUUUUAAUCAAGAACGAAAGUCAGAGGAUCGAAGGCGAUUAGAUACCGCCCUAGUUCUGACCGUAAACGAUGCCAACUAGCGAUCAGGCGGUGGCUAUUAAACCCCGCCCGGGAGCUUCCCGGAAACGAAAGUCUUCGGGUUCCGGGGGUAGUAUGGUUGCAAAGCUGAAACUUAAAGGAAUUGACGGAAGGGCACCACCCGGAGUGGAGCCUGCGGCUUAAUUUGACUCAACACGGGAAAACUCACCCGGCCCGGACACUGUAAUGAUUGACAGAUUGAGAGUUCUUUCUUGAUUCGGUGGUUGGUGGUGCAUGGCCGUUCUUAGUUGGUGGAGUGAUUUGUCUGGUUUAUUCCGAUAACGAACGAGACUCUAACCUGCUAAAUAGUUUUGCAGUAGCUUCGCUGCAGCAACUUCUUAGAGGGAUCAGUGG
rnacentral:rRNA from 1 species